GGCGGUGCUGGUCCGACAUGGCGGCCUGGCCGGCCUGGAACGCCGGCAUCGAGCGGAUCGAGGCCGACGGCCCGUUCGCGCCCGGCACCCGCUUC
rnacentral:tRNA from 1 species